rnacentral:rRNA from 1 species
AACGAACGCUGGCGGCAGGCUUAACACAUGCAAGUCGAACGGGCGUAGCAAUACGUCAGUGGCGGACGGGUGAGUAACACGUGGGAAUAUGCCUUUCGGUUCGGAACAACUCGGGGAAACUCGUGCUAAUUCCGGAUACGCCCUUACGGGGAAAGGAUUUAUCGCCGAAGGAUUAGCCCGCGUUGGAUUAGCUAGUUGGUGAGGUAAUGGCCCACCAAGGCGACGAUCCAUAGCUGGUUUGAGAGAACGACCAGCCACACUGGGACUGAGACACGGCCCAGACUCCUACGGGAGGCAGCAGUGGGGAAUCUUGGACAAUGGAGGAAACUCUGAUCCAGCCAUGCCGCGUGAGUGAUGAAGGCCUUCGGUUGU